CCUACGGGAGGCAGCAGUGAGGAAUAUUGGUCAAUGGGCGUAAGCCUGAACCAGCCAAGUCGCGUGAGGGAUGAAGGUUCUAUGGAUCGUAAACCUCUUUUAUAAGGGAAUAAAGUGCGGGACGUGUCCCGUUUUGUAUGUACCUUAUGAAUAAGGAUCGGCUAACUCCGUGCCAGCAGCCGCGGUAAUACGGAGGAUCCGAGCGUUAUCCGGAUUUAUUGGGUUUAAAGGGUGCGUAGGCGGACUUUUAAGUCAGCGGUGAAAGCCUGGGGCUCAACCAUAGCAUUGCCGUUGAAACUGGGAGGCGUGAGAAUGCUAGAGGCAGGCGGAAGGCGUGGUGUAGCGGGGAAAUGCUUAGAUAUCACGCAGAACCCCGAUUGCGAAGGCAGCAUGCC
rnacentral:rRNA from 1 species